UUAAUACUCCUCUACCUAACCCUUUCGUGUUUCACUAUCAUUCGUGCUUCACUAUCAUUCGCACUUCUCAUACUGUCUUUUUUCUUCUCUACACUACACCUCCAAUUGCAUCUCACGCUUCCCAUGCCAGCUAUUUCGUUUGUCACUAACCUUCAUCGUUGGUCAUGAUUACCCUAGUCGUUGGUUUCUCUCGUGUUGUAAUGGCGUUGCUCGUGUUGUGGUGGCAUUGCUAGGUGUUGGGUCUAUCAAGAGGAGGGGUUAAAAAACGGUGACCCACACAAAUAAUUUUACUCUUCAAUCCAUUGUGGGUAAUUUUCAUUAAACCUUGACAACCUUUAAAUAGGUGCAAAUCGGGCCUUGGGCCAAGUACAAAUAAUAAAAACUGACAAUAAAAUAUCAACUUACUUAAAAAUAAAAUAUGCUUAUUCUAUCACAAAAUAAUAUUCUACCUACAUAAACAGAAAAUCAUAACUACUUAUUCCUAAUUUAUCUCUAUCAAAUCAAACCAAAUAUUACUAGACCCAAAACCAAUAAAAUAAGAUUUAAACAAAAUCAUUAAUAAAACCCUAAAAUUUAAGUUUAUCCCAACAAACUCCCCCAUAAACUUAAAUUCUUCCUUUAUUCUCGACUUUUGCUCCUAGACCUCUUCUUCUUAUUCUUCUCUUUAUUUUUCUCACGGCCUUGAGUGUUCCCCUUCAAGUUUGAAGUCGAUCUUGCCUAACAUAGUUGUCCCCUGUACGCGACGUCUUCAUAGUGCGUCCAUAGUGCGUCUUUUUCACCGCAUUCCAAUUACUUCUCCUUUCUUUUUUACUCUCUUUUCGAACACUCAGACUCUUCUCGCUCUCUGGGUUUUUGAGACUCUCCUUUUUUUGUUCUCCUUUUUCUCUCUAAAUUCUCCCUCUCUCCUUUUUCUCUCUCUAGAUAUUUGACUCUCCUAUCUGUCCUUUUUUUUUUUUUCUCUAAACUCUCCCUCACUCCUCCUCCAGCGGAAGCAUUCUCAACCAACCACAACCACGAGUAGCCCUUUCCAAGGGCCGUUCAACUUAACGGAACUCGCUUGCCUGAAUACCCUUUGUCAGGAAGACUUUUGGUAUAGGGAUCAUUAUACUCGUUUGAGCCGGUCACCAAGACAAACAAUUGACUCUGAUACCAUUGUUUGGUCUAUCAGGAUGAGGGGUUAAAAAACGGUGACCCACACAAAUAAUUUUACUCUUUAAUCCAUUGUGGAUAAUUUUCAUUAAACCUUGACAACCUUUAAAUAAGUGCAAAUCGGGCCUUAGGCCAAGUACAAAUAAUAAAAACUGGCAAUAAAAUAUCAACUUACUUAAAAAUAAAAUCUACUUAUUCUAUCAUAAAAUAAUAUUCUACCUACAUAAACAGAAAAUCAUAACUACCCAUACCUAUUUUAUCUCUAUCAAAUCAAACCAAAUAUUACUAGACCCAAAACCAAUAAAAUAAGAUUUAAACAAAAUCAUUAAUAAAACCCUAAAAUUUAAGUUUAUCCCAACACUAGGUUUAUGGCUAUAGAAUUUCCUCCUUCCUCUCAUAUUGAAGCUCUCGUUUUGGGGUGGCUCUCUCAUUGCUAUCUUUCUCCUUUUCCUUGUUUAGGGUAUUGGUGAAGCACGUGUUUAGGGUGUAUCUCGUGCUUCUACUAUUUUUUUUAUCAAGUUUGAAUAUAUUCAAUAAAUUAUUCUAACAUAAUUCAUUUUCAAUGUUCAAGAUAUUUAUAUCGUAUAUGCAUUAAUUGGAAAAAUGAUCACAUAUAUG
rnacentral:lncRNA from 1 species